AGUGGAAUUACUGGGGCAUAUGGUAAGUUUAUGUUUAACUUUUUAAGGAACUGCCAAACUAUUUUCUGAAGUGGCUGCACCAUUUUGCAUUCCACCAGCAAU
rnacentral:pre_miRNA from 1 species